UGCACUGUUGUUUGGUGCAGGGCUCUUCACUCAUGGAUGGGCUCUCUCACUGCAGGAGGGGUUAAAGAGUUCCUGCUCUCUCAUUGGUUUAAAAAUCAUCUGGUCCUUAAAGUGAUGCUGCCGGAUUGGGCAACAGAUAACAGACGGUUGCUGAUUGGUGGAUACAACUGUCACUCAAACAAGCAAGGCUGUUUUAAGGCAGAUCACCUGCAAUGGAUACCUUUACCGGCUGGUAUGCGUCAGCUGAAAACAAGCGAAACAGCCAAGCUGAGAGCUUCAGCAAGGUUACCGAAGAGGAAAAGAGCGGAUUAAACGCUCUCGAGAGCAAUGCAAAUGAGACACUUGUCAAGAGGAAAGGGUGAUUUUGACAGCUCUCUGUCAGAAGGGCUUGACAGACCACAUGGCAUGGAAGGGGGGUCUACUAUGUUUAAAUGAAAGCUGGUUUAGUUGGUGUUAUACUCUACCAAUGCAUUCUGAGUUCACAUAAGCAUUUUACCCAUGUUUGAUGUUGUUCUCCACUAUGCAUCAUUUUUGACUUCAUUGGUCAACCAGAUAAGAAAUUCCAUGCUGCCUGACCAACAGUUUUUGCUGUUAAAUAACAUGGCUAUUCCAAACCAACCAGCAAAAACCAACCUGCCAAUGCGUGCUAGUGUAAGCUGCAAGGAUACAAGCAGCGAUGUUAUGUCCAUCCAUAUAACAUUUUUGUAUUUCAGAAAAUGUAGGAGAUAAAGACAAGAAAAUGCACAUACUCACACACACACACAUACACAAAACGUACUACUGUAGCCUCCUAUGACAUCAGCACUCCCAGCCUUUGUCGCACCCUGUCAAAAUGUGAACUCUGUGAACUACUGGAGAGAAACAAACCAGUCCAUAGCCUUGAAUGGAAAAUAAACCCUGCCAUCAUGAAUAAUCAUCAGAGACAGCAUGGAGCUUCAUAGUCAUUCUCUUUCUCACUUUGUGUUUUGGUGAAAGAGUAUUUCGAAUUAAUGCAAGAUCUCUGCUGACUCAUCCAUUGAAAUGUCAAUGUCAAGAUAAAUUGAUGUGUUUGCUUUACCUGUCUGGUUUUCCCUUUCUGUACUCAAAAUGUCAGCGAAAUUUAAAGUGAAGGCUGUA